GAUGAACGCUGGCGGCGUGCCUAAUACAUGCAAGUCGAGCGAAUGGAUUAAGAGCUUGCUCUUAUGAAGUUAGCGGCGGACGGGUGAGUAGCACGUGGGUAACCUGCCCAUAAGACUGGGAUAACUCCGGGAAACCGGGGCUAAUACCGGAUAAUAUUUUGAACUGCAUGGUUCAAAAUUGAAAGGCGGCUUCGGCUGUCACUUAUGGAUGGACCCGCGUCGCAUUAGCUAGUUGGUGAGGUAACGGCUCACCAAGGCAACGAUGCGUAGCCGACCUGAGAGGGUGAUCGGCCACACUGGGACUGAGACACGGCCCAGACUCCUACGGGAGGCAGCAGUAGGGAAUCUUCCGCAAUGGACGAAAGUCUGACGGAGCAACGCCGCGUGAGUGAUGAAGGCUUUCGGGUCGUAAAACUCUGUUGUUAGGGGAGAACAAGUGCUAGUUGAAUAAGCUGGCACCUUGACGGUACCUAACCAGAAAGCCACGGCUAACUACGUGCCAGCCGCCGCCGUAA
rnacentral:rRNA from 1 species